GGUUAAUGGGGCAAGUAGAGGAAACAACAAACCGGGAGAGAAUGUGUGAACCUACAUGCAGAAGUUUAGUGAGGGGGUUACUGCGGGGUGUACCAUCCACCCCAACACAGGAGACAUCGGUAUCAGAUAAGAAGGAAGGAUCUGGCAGGUCUUGUUCCCUGAGAACACUACGGGCUGCACCUGUGUCGACUAGAAAGGUAGUUGGAUGGCCCUCCACGGGGAGAACUACAGUAGCCAAGGGCCCUCCCCCAUCCCCCGC